rnacentral:rRNA from 1 species
CUACGGGAGGCUGCAGUGAGGAAUCUUCCACAAUGGGCGAGAGCCUGAUGGAGCCAUACCGCGUGUAGGAUGACACCUUUCGGGGCGUAAACUACUUUUCUGAAGGAAGCAGUUCUGACGGUACUUCAGGAAUAAGCGACGGCUAACUACGUGCCAGCAGCCGCGGUAAUACGUAGGUCGCAAGCGUUAUCCGAAAUUACUGGGCGUAAAGCGUUCGAAGGCUGAUAAGUAAGUCUGAUGUUAAAUACCCACGGCUCAACCGGGGUGCUGUACUGGAAACUACUUGACUAGAGAAAUGCAGAGGUAACUGGAAUUUCCAUUGUAGGGGUUAAAUCCGUAGAUAAUGGAAGGAACACCAAAAGCGAAGGCAGGUUACUGGGCAUUUUCUGACGCUGCGCGAACGAAAGCGUGGGGAGCGAAAGGGAUUAGAUACCCGCGUAGUC